AGCGAACGCUGGCGGCAGGCUUAACACAUGCAAGUCGAGCGGGCAUCUUCGGAUGUCAGCGGCAGACGGGUGAGUAACACGUGGGAACGUACCCUUCGGUUCGGAACAACUCUGGGAAACUGGAGCUAAUACCGGAAACGCCCCUAUGGGGAAAGGUUUCCUGCCGAAGGAACGGCCGGCGUCUGAUUAGCUAGGUGGUGGGGUAACGGCCUACCAAGGCGACGAUCAGUAGCUGGUCUGAGAGGCUGAUCAGCCACACUGGGACUGAGACACGGCCGAGACUCCUACGGGAGGCGGCAGUGGGGAAUAUUGGACAAUGGGCGCAAGCCUGAUCCAGCCAUGCCGCGUGAGUGAUGAAGGCCUUAGGGUUGUAAAGCUCUUUUGUCCGGGACGAUAAUGACGGUACCGGAAGAAUAAGCCCCGGCUAACUUCGUG
rnacentral:rRNA from 1 species